UACGAAGGGGGCUAGCGUUGCUCGGAAUCACUGGGCGUAAAGGGCGCGUAGGCGGCGUUUUAAGUCGGGGGUGAAAGCCUGUGGCUCAACCACAGAAUGGCCUUCGAUACUGGGGCGCUUGAGUAUGGUAGAGGUUGGUGGAACUGCGAGUGUAGAGGUGAAAUUCGUAGAUAUUGGGAGGAACACCGGUGGCGAAGGCGGCCCCCUGGACCGGUACUGACGCUGAUGCGCGAAAGCGUGGGUAGCAAACGGG
rnacentral:rRNA from 1 species